CACCCCACCCCUGCCACUUUCCUCCGUUGGUGUCCAUACGUUUGUUCUCUACAUCUGUGUCUCUGUUUAGGGCAGACUUGUUUUUAAUGCUAACAUUUUUUCAGGGCUUACUGUCUACCAGGCACAGUUGGAAAGCUGUAUAUGUGUUAUAUAUUUCAUCUCAUUCACAACCACUCCAGCAACUGCCUGAGCUACAUACUAGUAUUGCCUCCAUUCUACAGAUGAAGAAAAUGAGAAAACAGAGAUUGAAGAAUUCGCCCAAGGCCACAUGCAAGCCCGUAGGAGAUGAAGGUGGGAUUCCAGCCCAGGCAGCUUGACUCUCAAGACCAAACCAGGGAAUGCUGCCUGGGGGAGGGUGAGUUUCCCCAGGCUCAGAUUGUUCUCUGGUAAUCUGAUCAUAAGUGGCUGGGCUGGUCUUCAGGCCAUCUGGUCCUACCCCUCAUCUUCCUGUUGACCAGGCUGAUUCUGCAAGAGGCAAGGUGGCUGCUGUAGGGUGUCCUCCCUUCCUCCAGGGGGCGGAGCCAGGAUGACAGCCUGAGUGAUGGGACCUUGUGAUGGAGCCUACACUGAGCAGCAUGCAUUUUACUUGUAAUCAGAAAGAAAUCUAGCUAUUUCUCCAAAAGAAGUCCCUGUAUUGAGGAUUCAGAUCUAAGAAGAGUGAGCCCCCAGGAGGGUGGGCAGGUUGCACGCGGAGACCCGGAAACCCCGGACGUGAAAGCAGCCACUGGAAAGUUUCACAUUUUAUAUGGGGUUCAUAUUCUCUUUCUACUGGAUGGCACUGAGUCGGUGGGAAUCAGCUGGAGAGAGAACAGCCCUUUGGUUGGAGAGAGCGAGUAAUUGGACCCAGACCUGGAGGAGACUUUGAGGCAAACGGGGAGCUCAACUGCUUCGUGUGAGAAAGGAGAAGAGAAAGUAACAGACUAGGACGAGGACAGGCAAGUGUGGGGCUGGGUUUCAGGGGACAGAGAAAAUGAAGAGAGGAUGGGAGGGAAGCCCAGGAACAGGACAGUAGCCGGAGACCAGGGAACAGGUGGCUGAGGAAGGACUCCCCGAGCCCCUGGGGCAGGGCCAGCAGUGAGUUUUGCCAGCAGUGAGGUCAGCUGAUAAAUUUUAAAUGGGUUACUGAUCUAUGCCAUGAUACUCCUCUGCUGUCCCUGCACCCCAAGGACAGACCGUGUGGGGCUGGGGACGCCGUGUCCCUGCUUGGACAGCAGGGCUGGGUGAGGACGGUGAUGUGCCAGGCAGUGGCCCGAGAGCCCAAGGGGAGGAGGGAAAGUGAGGAACAAGGGUGCCGGACGAGGGGUCAGGCAAGGACGACGUGACAGGUACCCAGAAAUGCUUGGAAGGAUCCCCAAGAGCCCUGAGCUGCUGCUGGCAGGGAGGUGCAAGGCAGCUGAAGAUUUUCACUUGGUUUUGAAGGGAAGGAUCUCCCCAGCCGGCUGGCCGACACUGGGACCCUUCGCCACAUUACGCAGGGCGUUGUAAUACCCUCUGGGGUGGGGUGCUGGGCAGCAGCGGCUGAGAAGUUUGGUGGCAGUGCUGGCGGGGAAGGUGGGGAAGUGGAACCAAGCAAUGCCAGUAGCCACGUCAGCAAAUAACGUGGAAAGCUCUCCGGGAUCAGCUGUCCCGGGGCGGGGGUGGGGCAGGGUGUCCUGCGUGUUCUGCGGGGGCCCCCCUGCGAGACACCCACACCCCUCUCGGCCUGCUCUGGGUCUCGGGAGGCUGGCUUGUAACGUCUACACACACAGGCCUCUUUGCCCCAGACUCCUGAGGUGGGUUGGCUGACGGGGGCCCUGCUGAAGAUCCAGGGCGUGAGUGGCGUCUGAGGGCAGGUGUUUAGUCCCGGGCUCCUUCCCUGCAUUGCGGUACCUUGUCCCUCUACCUUGAGGCCUCUCCGCAAAGUGCUGUCUCUCUCUGUCUCUCAGUCUCUGGCUUCCAGCAUCUCCUAUCUCUCAUCCCUGCAGGCUCUCCAUGGUCCCCAGCCCUGGCGAAUUUCACAUUCCUAUUCCUUCCCCCCUCAGCCAACCACACCUUUGUCAACAGCCUUUCACUAACUCUUCUUCACUUAUCCAGCUCGACUCUGCCAUUCGCUUCUUACAGAGACCCUGACCGAUACCAGGAUGUACCAUACGCUAAAACUUUUGUGCACUUAAGGGAGAAGACAGAGUGAAAAUACACGUUUGAAUUUACAGAAAGGAAUAUGGGAAAGGUACAUGAGAAACUAAUAACAGUAGCAGGUAUAGUGGGAGGAAUCAGUGAACUGGGGCAGAGGUAGAGCGAGAUUUCCCAUUGUAUCUAAUUUAUAUUAUUUUGAUUUUGAACCGUGUGAAUUAUUAUCUGUCACAGCGGUCCCCAGCCUUUUUGGCACCAGGGACCGGUUUCUUGGAAGACAGUUUUUCCACAGAUGGGGUG